AUUGGACGCUGGCGGCAGGCCUAACACAUGCAAGUCGAACGGUAACAGGAAACAGCUUGCUGUUUCGCUGACGAGUGGCGGACGGGUGAGUAAUGUCUGGGAAACUGCCUGAUGGAGGGGGAUAACUACUGGAAACGGUAGCUAAUACCGCAUAACGUCGCAAGACCAAAGAGGGGGACCUUCGGGCCUCUUGCCAUCGGAUGUGCCCAGAUGGGAUUAGCUAGUAGGUGGGGUAACGGCUCACCUAGGCGACGAUCCCUAGCUGGUCUGAGAGGAUGACCAGCCACACUGGAACUGAGACACGGUCCAGACUCCUACGGGAGGCAGCAGUGGGGAAUAUUGCACAAUGGGCGCAAGCCUGAUGCAGCCAUGCCGCGUGUAUGAAGAAGGCCUUCGGGUUGUAAAGUACUUUCAGCGGGGAGGAAGGGAGUAAAGUUAAUACCUUUGCUCAUUGACGUUACCCGCAGAAGAAGCACCGGCUAACUCCGUG
rnacentral:rRNA from 1 species